rnacentral:rRNA from 1 species
UACGGGGGGGGCAAGCGUUGUUCGGAAUUACUGGGCGUAAAGGGCGCGUAGGCGGUUGGAUAAGUCAGCUGUGAAAACCACGGGCUUAACUCGUGGCCUGCAGUUGAGACUGUCUGGCUUGAGUGUGGGAGAGGAGAGUGGAAUUCCUGGUGUAGCGGUGAAAUGCGUAGAUAUCAGGAGGAACACCGGUGGCGAAGGCGGCUCUCUGGACCACAACUGACGCUGAGGCGCGAAAGCGUGGGGAGCAAGCAGG